AGAUGUGAGGGAGAUCUGGCUGUGACAUCUGUCACCCCACUGAUCACCAGGGUCAAUUCAGCUUAUCUGUUUGGCUAGAUAGAUGUUCCCUUCUUCCCUCAUCACUCCAUCAGCUUCCCGCCUGAAGCUGUGCACUUGGCAGAAGAGGAUGACUACCGCAGAGAGAAGGAGUGUUCCGUUCUUUGGUCAAGAGUAUCUUCCACUCAAAGCAAUUUCUGCAAAAUGAAUGACUAUACUACAACUCUCAGAUAGCAUGGUCCAU
rnacentral:sRNA from 1 species